rnacentral:tRNA from 1 species
GGAGAGGUGGCUGAGUGGUCGAAAGCGGCGGUCUUGAAAACCGUUGAGGAGCAAUCCUCCCAGAGUUCGAAUCUCUGCCUCUCCG